GGCAAGAUGGCCGAGUUGGUUAUGGCGCCAGGUUAAGGUUCUGGUGGAGCAAUCCUCCUGGGUUCGAGUCCCAGUCUUGUCA
rnacentral:tRNA from 1 species